rnacentral:rRNA from 1 species
AACGAACGCUGGCGGCAUGCCUAACACAUGCAAGUCGAACGAGACCUUCGGGUCUAGUGGCGCACGGGUGCGUCACGCGUGGGAACCUGCCCUUAGGCUCGGAAUAACUCCCCGAAAGGGGUGCUAAUACCGGUUAAUGUCUUCGGACCAAAGAUUUAUCGCCUUUGGAUGGGCCCGCGUUGGAUUAGCUAGUUGGUAGGGUAAAAGCCUACCAGGGGGACGAUCCAUAGCUGGUCUGGGAGGAUGGUCAGCGACACUGGGACUAGGACACGGACCAGAGUCUUACGGGAGGCAGGAGUGGGGAACAUUGGACAGCCGGGUAAAGCCUGAUCGAGCAAUGCUGCGUGAGUGAUGAAGGCCUUAGGGUUGUAAAGCGCUUUUAACCGGGAUGAUAAUGACGGUACCGGAAGAAUAAGCACCGGCUAACUCCGUG